rnacentral:rRNA from 1 species
CCAAUAGCGUAUAUUAAAGUUGUUGCAGUUAAAAAGCUCGUAGUUGAAUUUCGGGAUCAGUUGGUCGGUCGUGCCUCGGUACGUACUGGUCAAAUUGAUUCCUACCUUCUGACGAACCACGAUGUCAUUAAUUUGGUGUCGUGGGGAAUUAGGACUGUUACUUUGAAAAAAUUAGAGUGUUUAAAGCAGGCUCGCGCUUG